rnacentral:rRNA from 1 species
UACGGGGGGAGCAAGCGUUGUUCGGAUUUACUGGGCGUAAAGGGCGCGUAGGCGGUCAGCACAAGUCAGUUGUGAAAUCUCCGGGCUUAACCCGGAAAGGUCAACUGAUACUGUGCGACUAGAGUGCGGAAGGGGCAACUGGAAUUCUCGGUGUAGCGUUGAAAUGCGUAGAUAUCAAGUGGAACACCAGUGGCGAAGGCGAGUCCCUGGACAACACCUGACACUGAGGCACGAAAGCUAGGGGAGCAAACAGG